ACUUAAAUUGAAGAGUUUGAUCAUGGCUCAGAUUGAACGCUGGCGGCAGGCCUAACACAUGCAAGUCGAGCGGUAGCACAGAGAGCUUGCUCUCGGGUGACGAGCGGCGGACGGGUGAGUAAUGUCUGGGAAACUGCCUGAUGGAGGGGGAUAACUACUGGAAACGGUAGCUAAUACCGCAUAAUGUCGCAAGACCAAAGUGGGGGACC
rnacentral:rRNA from 1 species